GAACUGAAACAUCUUAGUACCCGGAGGAAGAGAAAGAAAAUUCGAUUCCCUUAGUAGCGGCGAGCGAAACGGGAAGAGCCCAAACCAACAAGCUUGCUUGUUGGGGUUGUAGGACACUCUAUACGGAGUUACAAAGGACGACAUUAGACGAAUCAUCUGGAAAGAUGAAUCAAAGAAGGUAAUAAUCCUGUAGUCGAAAAUGUUGUCUCUCUUGAGUGGAUCCUGAGUACGACGGAGCACGUGAAAUUCCGUCGGAAUCUGGGAGGACCAUCUCCUAAGGCUAAAUACUCUCUAGUGACCGAUAGUGAACCAGUACCGUGAGGGAAAGGUGAAAAG
rnacentral:rRNA from 1 species